GGGACUCCAGGGCAGUUAAUCUUACCAAUCCCCUUGAUUUCACCCUUUGCUCCAUCACCAAAGGUUACAUAGCUGGUGGCAUGAGGAUGAAGGCCAGCUAGCAGGUUUUUGUUUUCAGUCAUGUGUCUGGAGCACCCACUAUCAAAAUACCAGUAUUCUUUGACUGAAACUCUGAAGGAAGUGUGAGCUAUCAGGUUUG
rnacentral:lncRNA from 1 species